UGUAAUAUUAUAAAAAAAAAUCACUAACCCGAAAUUAUAUUAAAAUAAAAUUCAAAUUCAAAUUCAAAUUCGUCCAAUCAAAUCCAAUCAAACUUAACCUAACCUUAGAGCUAAAUACAUUAGGUGUUGUACAUAUUAUGUUUAGUGAUAGGUAUGUAUCAAUCAUCGGUUCAAGACUGGCAUCUUUGCUAGGUUACCGAGAAGAAACGAAAAUGGCCAAGAACAAGACGACGACAUAAUCUUCGAAGACUUCGCGCGCCUCAGGCUGAAGGGCGCGGACGCUGAUGCUUGAACAUUAUGCUAACAGCGCUCUCUUACUGAACUACAUUCUAUAUUUUGUUAUACCAAACGCACAAUUGUAUCGUACUUUUUGAAUUUUCAUAAACAACAUUGUUCGUUUUGAAAUCCAUCGAAUGACCAUAGACACAAGAAAUAAGUGUUACCAUCCUUAGCGAAAAGUGUUAUAAUCUGUAUUAAAAUAAAAAUGAUGUAUAAAAUCAUGUUUUCGAUCAUUUACGAUUUUUGGUAAAUGCAUUUCUUACUUAUGCAAGUGAAAUAUUAUAGUCGAGCCAAUUUAAUAGGCAACAUUUGACGUCUAUCAAUUUUAUCUUCAAAGAGAGGCGCCAUACAAAUGCUUAGCCAAGUGGCACUUUUGACAGGAGACUACGCCAAUGGGCGUUCGAUAACUAGCGUACGCUAUAACAUCUUGUAGAAAUCGAAACAAAAUGGCGAUUUUAUAAUCAGCUGUCGAAGUUUCGUGUUGUGUUUAGUGAUUAUAAAAUUUUAGUUUUCAUAAAAUGCACGCUUUGAGACUUUUAAAAGCUGCGCACGAUGAAGAACUUUGGCUCAGGCGCCAAAAAAGAAAUGCGUCCAGACGGAGUUUAGAGACAAUCAAUGAAAUGCCGGAACAAUUGUUUCAGGAGCGUUUUAGGUUAAAUAAAAAAACUUUUAGCGAGCUUUGCUGCAGCCUACGUAACGAAACAAACAUACGGGGGACUAAAGAAAUUCCUUUGGAAGUAAAGGUUCUUUGCGCUCUGAGUUUCUUCGCAACGGGAUCCUAUCAGAGAAUUGUGGGUGUCACACAACAUUUGCCACAACGCACUACAAGUAGAUGCAUUAGGCAAGUUGUGGAGGCACUCAACAGUCCUCGGAUAGUGAAAAAAUGGAUAGUUUUCCCUCAAACACACCAAGAAAGAACAAGAAUUCGACAAGAAUUUCAAAGGAAAUUUCAAUUGCCAGGGGUAAUUGGAUGCAUAGAUUGCACUCACAUAUCAAUUGUAAAACCCCACAUUGAUGAACAGAAUUAUUUUAACAGAAAAGGAUACCAUUCCUUAAAUGUGCAAAUGAUAUGUGAUGAUAAUUUAAAGAUUACACUGGUCAACAAUGAUUUUGUUGCCCUGGAUGUGAAAGUGGUUUCGAAUAAUUUAAUGCAUAUUAUAUACAGAACUAUUAAUAGUUUUGGUAGAUUGGCUCUAGUUUUUUUUUAUCCUAAUUUUCUUACUAGACUCUAAAAUGCAGCAUGAAAUAGAAGGUAUAUUUUUUUUACAUCAUUUAUUUAUUACAAAGUUUUACUUAUUGUUUUGUUUUAGUAUUUAAUUAAUUCAAAUGGAUAUAAAAAUAGAGAAAAAUCAUUAAAACUUAUGAAAUAGUACAAGGAAAUAGAUUUUAUAAGCUUGUCUUCUUAGUUAAUUUUGGGACAAUAGUUUUCUUAUGGACCAUCAGUAAUCUGCCAUCAUGUGACGAUCCCAUAUACCCUGAUACCAUUAUUCCAUAAUUUUUACUUCUUUUUCGAUGUGUUCUUCCUGUUUCUCACAGAAAUUCCGCAGAUUUACUGGAUAUCUAUCCAGGAGACUGUGGGCAAAGUGUAGCUUUAUGCUCGUAUUUGCUCAUAAAAUAAUGAAGUUUUUUAAACAACUGUUGUGCCAUUUCUUUAUAAUUUGGUGUUUGAAAUUAAUCUUAAAUUAAUUAAUACUAUAUCUCUCCAUAAUUUACAUUCAGCAUCAGUUAUUAAAUUUUGUUAAAUUUUCAUUUUUUAUCAAUUGUCGACACGCCCGUCCUGUAGGGCCAUCGGGUAUUCUUCUUAUACUUCUAGAUUCCCUCAAAGGCCUAAAUUUUCAUAUUUAUUAAUUAUUCCUAAUGAAUUUGCUUUGUCUAAUUCUAUUAAUAAAAACAUCAAGGGAAUUUCGUAUACCUAUCCACUUUGCUGACCAAGUGCUACUGGGUUUCUUUAACUCGAUACAAACCGAACAUUGUUGUUCAUAAAAAUGUUUUUUUACAGAAACCAUUUAUUAUUCUGAUAUUCUACAGUCAGUUUUAUAGAAUAGGGUUCUGUCUGAGCGAAUAAAUGUGCAGAAAACGUAAUUCACCUAAAAAUAAACACUUGUUAGUAACCCGUACUCUGAAGGGCCGUAAGAAAUUUUUAUAUAUGAAAAUCCAAAUUAAAAAAAAACUAGAGCCAAUUAAAUAAUUUUAAUGAUUACAUUCGCAAACUGGGUACUUGAAAUAUAUAAAUCUGUAGAAAUAUCCAGGGCAACAAAAAAAAAUUGUUUUUUUGUUGAGCUGUGUUAUCAAUGUCAAUGCAAAAUAUGGUGGAGCCACGCAUGAUUCCUUCAUAUGGUCAUCCAGUGAAGUGGAACCAUACAUGCGUGGACUUCACGAAAAUGGUGAAUUGACGUGGCUAUUAGGUGAUUCUGGAUACCCACAGAGAGCGUGGCUGAUGACACCAAUUUUAAAUGCCGAACCAGGUUCUCGAGCAGAGGUGUACACUACACGCCAUUUACAGGCACGCAAUUGUAUUGAACGAUGUUUUGGUGUAUUGAAGGCUCGUUGGAGAUGCUUGCUGAAGCAUCGUACACUCCAUUACCAUCCUCGUGUUGCCAGUGAGGUAACUAUUGCAUGUUGUGUUCUGCACAAUAUUGCACUGGAUGCUAAAUUACCUCCCCCUAAUAAUAUGGCUGAGCAACAAGAGGAUGGUGAUGAACCGAGUGUGGGGGUUGGACCCAUUUCCAGCAACCAAGAUGAGCUGAUGAGUGGCAGAAUAAUGCUAAAUAAUUUAGUUAAUAGAUUAGUUUAGUAGGUUAUUUUUGUAUUUUUGUAUUUUUUAAAGUGUGUUGUGUGUAGUUUUAAUGUGUAUUACUUUUAAGCCUAAUUUAGUAUGCCUGACCAAGUAGUUUUGUAUAAUAUUUUUUCGCUCCUAAAACAUUAUUUUGUUUACCUACACAGAUUUAAAUAAUGAAACUGCAUUAGUUACAGUAUAUAUUAAUCCUUUUAAAGUUUCUGAUAACUGCUCAUAUUUUAGUGCAGGUCAUAGGUGAAAAAAUUGAUCAUUGUUGCAGCCUCAACCUGUUUUUUAUAAUAUUUUUAAGUUUGUAAUUUUUAUUAUUGUAUUUUUUGUUAGUAUUUAAAAAAGUGUGUACUGAAUUAAUGGUGGUAUAAACUACUUAACUAAUUAAGUAAUAAAAUAUACUAUUAUUAUGUA